ACUGUAAUAUUUCACCUGUAAUAAGACCGAAAUAAUAUAAUUAAAAUAAAGAAACAUGAUAAUAUGAUAACAUCUAAAUAAAUGUUGAUAGAUUUAGCGUUAUAGUUUUAAAAAUAUUAAUAAACAGCAAAUCAACACAGAAAGACCUAAAUAAUAAUAAUACAUAAUUAAUAAACAGCGCCGCCCCUCCCACUACGCGCAUCACGCGCUGUGCGUCAACCCCAAAGCGUCAAAAACUGAAGCGUGGUCAAGCGCCUCUAGCGUCACUGACAUGAGAUGUUUAUCGCUUUGAAAUCACGUUCAAGAAGUCUCAUUCAGCACACAUCGCGAUACUUUCCAUCAGUUUGCAAGAGCCGCAGGUUGGGUGAGUUAUACAGUCUAUGGUGAGUAGUAGUAAAUAUGCUCUUUUAAUGCCUGUCCUAAAACGUAUUCUGUCUUCUUUAUUAAUCAGAUGAGCGCCUUAUGUUUACUCUCUGUAUUACAUCGGUCAUCCGAGGCUGUCUUUGAGUUUCAUUGUGUUUAACUAAAUGAACACAGCUGCUAACUGGUUAAACUCUAUCGGUCACGUGACGUGACGUGACGUGCCACAGACCUGGGAUCCGUUUUAUAUUAAUUUCAGGUUCAAAGAUCUGAAAAGACGUAAAGUAAGCAGUCACCCCAGUGGUGUUUGUGGAGAGGUAUUCCUUCAGAAAUGGAGAAGACAGAAAGCUGCAGAGGCAGGAUUGUUUGCAGAUAAUGCUGUUCUUCUUUUUCAGAAGUUUUUGGGGAGCCAACCCUCACAAACCUUCCUAAAAACUAAAAGAGCUAUUACUGAGUCUCAGCGACUCUUGCCACGAUCAGCUCUUCCCAGAAGAGAAGGAAGACCAAGGAAAUGAUUUGCUCAGGAUGAGAAAUGAAGAUGGUCAUCUUGUGCUCAAGCAAACAGAAGUCCUCUGAUGAUCUCAUCAACCAAAUGAGGGGUUUUGACCAAGUGAUGCUCUUGAAAGGAGUGAAAGAAGAGGAUGUGGUAAAUUGUCUUCAGAGAAAAAGCUUCUCAAAAGAUCUUAAAACAGCUUGAAGAAUGGUCUGGGAUCUUAGGACUGGGAGAUCUCACUUGCACCCAGUUAACCUCCAUAGAGAACAUUUAUCAGAAGCGCUGUCUGGGUAGGGCAAGAAACAUCAUCAAGGAUGCCUCUCACCCUAACCAUGGACUUUUCACCCUCCUUCCAUCCGGCAGGCGUUACAGGAGCCUACGCUCUCGAACUAGUACCUGCUCUUUUACUGCACUGGUCACAGUACUUUACAUACAUGUAUUGCACUACUCAUAUUUUGCACAGACUGCACAUGGUUAAAUCCAUUACUCUAUAAACUGUCUAAAGCUGUUACUGUACAAGCACAGUAAACUAUUUCUACAAUAAAUAUAAUUGCACUACUAUUAUUUUGCAUAUAAUAAAAAAGUUAAACUAUACUUUUGCACACUCAUUCAACUGUAUUUAUUACCACUGUUCUCAAGUUCCUGCUAUUCAUAAUGUAUAUAUAAUUCUUCUUUGCUCUGUUCAUAAUGUACAUACAAUCCCUACAUUAAAUUCAUAUUUAUAUUCUGUAUAUACUCUGAUCAAUAUUGUAUAUAGCAACUCCACUGUAAAUUCUGUAUAUCAUAGCUUUACUUACUCUGCACUUUUAUGUAUAUAAAACACUAUAUUCUUGCACUUCUGGUUAGAUGCUAACUGCAUUUCAUUAGCUCUGUACUUGUACUCUGCAUAAUGACAAUAAAGUUGAAUCUAAUCUAAUCUAAUCUAAUCUUCUGGCUGAGAACAAGCUACACCACAUCAGUGUUUGAUAUCAACCACAAACUGUUUCCAGACACGACAGAAGAUCACGAUGAAACCAGUUUAGAUGUGAUGAUGGGAAUCAUUAUUUUCUGAAACAGUAUCCAAUGUCUUAUAUGUAUCACAUGAUCUGUAUCACAGUUGACUGAAUGGGACUGUGACUUUUAAGGACAUUUCAUCACUCAUCUGUAUUUUUGAUGAUGAAUAAUUAUUUUCCUUGAAUCUUAUUUGUCUUGAUGCUACUUUAUCAUCUUUAUAGUCUAUGCUUCAAUAAAAUGAAUAUGAUGAA